UUUAGGGUAAGCUAAUUAAAGCUGUUGAGUUCAUACCUCAAAUAUAGGUUUCUCCCUGAUA
rnacentral:tRNA from 1 species